rnacentral:rRNA from 1 species
UACAGAGGUCUCAAGCGUUGUUCGGAUUCAUUGGGCGUAAAGGGUGCGUAGGCGGCGCGGUAAGUCGGGUGUGAAAUCUCGGAGCUUAACUCCGAAACUGCAUUCGAUACUGCCGUGCUUGAGGACUGGAGAGGAGACUGGAAUUUACGGUGUAGCGGUGAAAUGCGUAGAUAUCGUAAAGGAAGACCAGUGGCGAAGGCGGGUCU